UACGGGGGGAGCAAGCGUUGUUCGGAUUUACUGGGCGUAAAGGGCGCGUAGGCGGUCCCUCAAGUCAGGCGUGAAAGCCCCGGGCUCAACCUGGGAACCGCGCUUGAGACUGAUGGGCUAGAGUUCGGGAGAGGAUGGUGGAAUUCCCAGUGUAGAGGUGAAAUUCGUAGAUAUUGGGAAGAACACCGAUGGCGAAGGCAGCCAUCUGGACCGACACUGACGCUGAGGCGCGAAAGCGUGGGGAGCAAACAGG
rnacentral:rRNA from 1 species